rnacentral:rRNA from 1 species
UACGGAGGGUGCAAGCGUUAUCCGGAUUCACUGGGCUUAAAGGGUGCGUAGGUGGGCAGGUAAGUCAGUGGUGAAAUCUCCGGGCUUAACUCGGAAACUGCCAUUGAUACUAUCUUUCUUGAAUACCGUGGAGGUCAGCGGAAUAUGUCAUGUAGCGGUGAAAUGCUUAGAUAUGACAUAGAACACCUAUUGCGAAGGCAGCUAACUGCGCGAAUAUUGACGCUGAGGCACGAAAGCGUGGGGAUCAAACAGG